GAAAUGCUUGGCUACUUCCUCUGCGAUCUCUCAUGCAUGCAAUGUGAGUGCUUUAAACUUCUUAUAGUUGAGUAACACUCUGCUUACACCCUACAAGAAUUGGUGAGUGUAGUUAUUGUUGCAAUGGUGCAACCUUUUCCCUGAUGAAUUUCCUAUGCAUUAUUGCUAUCUUUCCUAUGCAGUUGUUGGAUGAUAAUAUGUUUGU
rnacentral:misc_RNA from 1 species